GUACAAUUGUUCUGGUUUUAGCAGCUUCAAACAGUUUAUCAGUGAUUGUGAUCAUAGUUCUGGGCUCACAGUUGUACAAGCACCAGCGAAAAGACGAGAUCCCGUAUAUUGUGCUCGAUCAAUCAGUGGCUGAUGACAUCACUACUACAGUCGAUUAUACAACCUACCAAAAACGUCUUUAACCUUUAGAAGGCUUGAGGAAUAAAACUGGCAGAACAAAUGAGACACGAAGUUUGACUUUCACCUUUCACUUUUCAUCAUGUUUUUUAGCAGUUGGUCGAAAGAAUAAAAUCAACUUUUUUGAAUGAUUACAGCACAUACCUUAGUAAAAAAUAGGACAUGAAUUUACAAUAAUUGUCUCCUUUGGUUUUGCAUUUUGUUUAUGUUUUAUAUCUUUUAUUUUGUAAUUUGGCAUAGUCAUGUUUUCUUGGUUUGUCAUGUGACCCCCUUGCCCUUCAUGUGAUCUUUUCCUGUGCUCCUUAGUACUUGUAUCAUGUUCUGAUUGGUUUCCU